ensembl:lncRNA
CACAGCUGGCCUCAAAGGAGGCAUUACUAGCCAGGAGGAGGGCAAGGCAAGAGAUGCUAAAAGAUGAUCUGAUUUAGGGCUUUGUCAAUCAGGCCUUAGUGGUUGGGAUGAUACGAGAUAGACUCGUGUAUUCCCCAAGCUGAAAUCUCUUGAGCCCAAACCACUACUGGCAGUGAAUUAACCAUCUGCUAACCGUGGUGAGGCACUGCCUGGAAGAGUGCAAGCUGAACCAGGCCAAAACCAUAUCAAAGACUGCAUCCAUAAUCUGCGGUGCAAAUGAGCAUGGACACCUCUCAGGCUCAUACCCUGACUGCUUUCUGUUCACUGGUGCACACACACAGCCAGAGCAGCCUCUGUUUGGCUUAAUGAGCAGAGGGCUCACAGGAGACCUGUGGUGGACACAACACCUGGCCCAGCUCUGUGGGCCCUUUGGACUGCAGGGACUGGAGUUUGGAGCACUGGACAAGGCACAGAGGAUCAUGAUCUGGAGGACAGUCUGCCUGCAACUACUGAACCCAUGUAUCCACAGAGCAACGUAAACCCAAACACCUUAAACAAAGAGGAAACUGGAACUGGGGCCAGUAAACAGCACGUCCAAAAGGAAGAGAGUCCUGGGAGGCAAGGAAAAUCAAAGUGUCCCUGUCUGAUUCUCACCCUCCUCCUGGGCUGAGCAGCACUGACCCUGCCUUGCAAUGAGAUGAAUCCCCAGAGGUGGACCUGCAGUUGGUGAGAAAUGAGAUGUCAUGAUGAAAAUGGAAGGCUUAGGAGAGAGCAGGGGUCAAACGGAUUAUUCUCCUCAUGUUGCUUUCAGGUUUUCUGUUCAGAAAAUCCCCUUCCAGGUAUCAGCAAGGCAAGUCAGAGGUGGUGAAGGCAGUUUCCACUCAGCCGUUUUCAACUCAAGUAGUUCAUGGUGACUCCUGUCGGGUAGCAUCUUUCACAGAGCUGCAACCUGACUGACCACUGAGGGAGCCCCAGUGGCUUUGAAAUAUGGCAAUAUGGACCAGGAUUCGUAUGUCUCUACUAAGGAUCUCUGGAGGAGAGAAGUAGCAGAGCUAUGAUACAAGACCUUAUCCAGACCAACCUUCUUGAGCCACUUACAUGGCAGAUAGAAUUUACUGCCUAAACGGCCAGACCCAGAGGGUAGUGAGCAGCAGUGCAACGUCCACAUGUUCAAAUUUGAAUAAGGCAGCUAGCUUCCCAUCUCCCAGUAACCCAGCUGAGGGCUGUUUUAGUGCAGACUCCUUUGAAUGUCCGCACAGGGAAUGACAGAUCACAGUACUACAUCCUACAGUAAUAGGAGGAAAAACAACAGAUCAAAGGUGUCCUCCUUAAUCUGUUUUGAUAUGUGCUCCCCUAUCUCAGUUCAUAAGGCG